rnacentral:misc_RNA from 1 species
AACGCACAUUGCGCCCGUUAGUAUUCUGACGGGCAUGCCUGUCCGAGCGUCAUUUAAACCCUUAAGCCCAGCUUAGCGUUGGCGGAUUGCUGCGUCCAGCGCUGCAACCGCCCAAAUCCAUUGGCGGUCCCGCCGCGGCUCCCUUGCGUAGUAACUCACCUCGCACCGGGCCCGGGCGGCGACCCACCGUAAAACCCCCACUAUAACAAGGUUGACCUCGGAUCAGGUAGGAAUACCCGCUGAACUUAA